rnacentral:rRNA from 1 species
UACGGAGGAUCCAAGCGUUGUCCGGAUUUAUUGGGUUUAAAGGGUGCGUAGGCGGAUAAUUAAGUCAGUGGUGAAAUCUUGCGGCUCAACCGUAAAAUUGCCAUUGAAACUGAUUAUCUUGAGUACAGUUGAGGUGGGCGGAAUGUAUCAUGUAGCGGUGAAAUGCUUAGAUAUGAUACAGAACACCUAUUGCGAAAAGCAGCUCACUAAACUGCAACUGACGCUGAGGCACGAAAGCGUGGGGAUCAAACAGG